GACCUGAGAGGGUGAUCGGCCACACUGGGACUGAGACACGGCCCAGACUCCUACGGGAGGCAGCAGUAGGCAAUCUUCCGCAAUGGACGAAAGUCUGAGGGAGCAACGCCGCGUGAGUGAUGAAGGCUUUCGGGUCGUAAAACUCUGUUGUUAGGGAAGAACAAGUGCUAGUUGAAUAAGCUGGCACCUUGACGGUACCUAACCAGAAAGCCACGGCUAACUACGUCCCAGCAGCCGCGGUAAUACGUAGGUGGCAAGCGUUAUCCGGAAUUAUUGGGCGUAAAGCGCGCGCAGGUGGUUUCUUAAGUCUGAUGUGAAAGCCCACGGCUCAACCGUGGAGGGUCAUUGGAAACU
rnacentral:rRNA from 2 species